GCAAGAUCGUCUUUGUGUAUGUUUAAAUUUAUAUUUUUUAUAGUUAUUGUGCUGUUUAACUUUCUUAUAAAAGAGAGUGAGGAAUUAAAAAGGUGGCCACCGAACAGAAAGUUAAACUGCAAUAUACUAUAAUAUUUUUAGUUCUUGUUUACAUUUUUAACUGAUAAAUUAUGAAUAUAAAAUUUCAAAUUAAUUUAAAUUCAAAAAUAAAAGAACACCAACAUAGAUUUCUUAAACAUUGAAAUUUUACUAUAAGUUUAAAAUACAUUUAAUCUGCAUAUUAUUUGAAGUUUAAUAGGAACGGAACAUUUAACUGGAUCAUGGACGACUAUCCACCGACGAAGAAUUUGUCAUAGAGCUGAUGGAAAAUGUGUCGGCACUCGGCUACGUUUCAACACGGAGGACGUCUAGCAGCAGCAAAAAGAAAUUCAACUGAUGAUCAACUGCCCAAAGGAUUUGUUGUGAAGAAGAAUUUGUCAUUGAGCUAAUGGGAAAUGUGUCGGCACUCAGCUGUAUUUCAACACGGAGGACGUCUAGCAGCAAAAAGAUAUUCAACUGACGAUAAUCAACUGCCCAAAGGAUUUGUUGUGAAGCAGAAUUUGUCAUUGAGCUGAUGGAAAAUGUGUCGGCAGUCGGCUUCGUUUCAACACGGAGGACGUCUAGCAGCAGCAAAAAGAUAUUCAUCUGACGAUAAUCAACUGCCCAAAGGAUUUGUUGUGAAGAAGAAUUUGUCAUUUUGCUGAUGGAAAAUGUGUCGGCACUCGGCUUCGUUUCAACCAGGAGGAAGAUUGGCAGCAUCAAUAGACGUUCAUCUUAAUGUCAACUGUUGAAAGGAUUUGUUUGCAUUAUAAUAUAAUUUUAAAAUACAUUUAAUCUGCAUAUUAUUUGAAGUUUUUUAGGAACGGAACAUUUAACUGGAUCAUGGACAACUAUCCACCGACGAAGAAUUUGUCAUAGAGCUGAUGGAAAAUGUGUCGGCACUCGGCUUCGUUUCAACACGGAGGACGUCUAGCAGCAGCAAAAAGAAAUUCAACUGAUGAUCAACUGCCCAAAGGAUUUGUUGUGAAGAAGAAUUUGUCAUUUUGCUGAUGGAAAAUGUGUCGGCACUCGGCUUCGUUUCAACCAGGAGGAAGAUUGGCAGCAUCAAUAGACGUUCAUCUUAAUGUCAACUGUUGAAAGGAUUUGUUUGCAUUAUAAUAUAAUUUUAAAAUACAUUUAAUCUGCAUAUUAUUUGAAGUUUUUUAGGAACGGAACGUUUAACUGGAUCAUGGACGACUAUCCACCGACGAAGAAUUUGUCAUAGAGCUGAUGGAAAAUGUGUCGGCACUCGGCUUCGUUUCAACACGGAGGACGUCUAGCAGCAGCAAAAAGAAAUUCAACUGAUGAUCAACUGCCCAAAGGAUUUGUUGUGAAGAAGAAUUUGUCAUUUUGCUGAUGGAAAAUGUGUCGGCACUCGGCUUCGUUUCAACCAGGAGGAAGAUUGGCAGCAUCAAUAGACGUUCAUCUUAAUGUCAACUGUUGAAAGGAUUUGUUUGCAUUAUAAUAUAAUUUUAAAAUACAUUUAAUCUGCAUAUUAUUUGAAGUUUUUUAGGAACGGAACGUUUAACUGGAUCAUGGACGACUAUCCACCGACGAAGAAUUUGUCAUAGAGCUGAUGGAAAAUGUGUCGGCACUCGGCUUCGUUUCAACACGGAGGACGUCUAGCAGCAGCAAAAAGAAAUUCAACUGAUGAUCAACUGCCCAAAGGAUUUGUUGUGAAGAAGAAUUUGUCAUUUUGCUGAUGGAAAAUGUGUCGGCACUCGGCUUCGUUUCAACCAGGAGGAAGAUUGGCAGCAUCAAUAGACGUUCAUCUUAAUGUCAACUGUUGAAAGGAUUUGUUUGCAUUAUAAUAUAAUUUUAAAAUACAUUUAAUCUGCAUAUUAUUUGAAGUUUUUUAGGAACGGAACGUUUAACUGGAUCAUGGACGACUAUCCACCGACGAAGAAUUUGUCAUAGAGCUGAUGGAAAAUGUGUCGGCACUCGGCUUCGUUUCAACACGGAGGACGUCUAGCAGCAGCAAAAAGAAAUUCAACUGAUGAUCAACUGCCCAAAGGAUUUGUUGUGAAGAAGAAUUUGUCAUUGAGCUGAUGGGAAAUGUGUCGGCACUCGGCUGUAUUUCAACACGGAGGACGUCUGGCAGCAGCAAAAAGAAAUUCAACUGAUAAUCAACUGUCAAAAGGAUUUGUU